rnacentral:rRNA from 1 species
UACGUAGGGUGCGAGCGUUGUCCGGAAUUAUUGGGCGUAAAGGGCUCGUAGGCGGUUUGUCGCGUCGGGAGUGAAAACCUAUGGCUUAACUGUGGGCUUGCUUUCGAUACGGGCAGACUAGAGGUACGCAGGGGAGAACGGAAUUCCUGGUGUAGCGGUGAAAUGCGCAGAUAUCAGGAGGAACACCGGUGGCGAAGGCGGUUCUCUGGGCAUGACCUGACGCUGAGGAGCGAAAGUGUGGGGAGCGAACAGG